GAUGAACGCUGGCGGCGUGCCUAAUACAUGCAAGUCGAGCGACCGCACGAUAAGCUUGCUUCUUUGCUGUUAGCGGCUGACGGGUGAGUAACACGUGGAUCACCUUCUUAUUUGACUGGGAUAACUUCGUGAAACCGUUGCUAAUACUGGAUAAUAUUUUGUACCGCUUGGUUCAAAAGUGAAUGACGGCUUUGCUGUUUCUUUUAGAUGGUUCCGCGUUGCAUUAGCUAGUUGGUAAGGUAACGGCUUACCAAGGCAACGAUGCAUAGCUGACCUGAGAGGAUGAUCAGCCACACUGGAACUGAGACACGGUCCAGACUCCUACGGGAGGCAGCAGUAGGGAAUAUUCCACAAUGGGCGAAAGCCUGACGGAGCAACGCCGCGUGAGUGAAGAAGGUCUUCGGAUCGUAAAACCCUGUUGUUAGGGAAGAAAAGAUGUGGGAGAAAAUGUGCACGUCUUGACGGUACCUAAUCAGAAAGCAACGGCUAACUUCGUG
rnacentral:rRNA from 1 species